rnacentral:rRNA from 1 species
AUUGCAGGCUGCAACUCGCCUGCAUGAAGUUGGAAUUGCUGUAAUCGCGAAUCAGAAUGUCGCGGUGAAUACGUUCCCGGGCCUUGUACACACCGCCCGUCACACCAUGAGAGUCGAUAACACCCGAAGCCUGUGAGCUAACCGCAAGGAGGCAGCAGUCGAAGGCGGGGUUGAUGAUUGGGGUGAAGUCGUAACAAGGUAGC